GGAGGUAGUGACAAUAAAUCUCAAUACGAAGCCUUUGGUUUUGUAAUUGAAUUGAGAACAAUGUACAAUCGUUAUCGAUAAACAAUUGGAGGGCAAGUCUGGUGCCAGCAGCCGCGGUAAUUCCAGCUCCAAUAGCGUAUAUUAACGUUGUUGCAGUUAAAAAGCUCGUAGUUGAAGUUUAGAUAAUUUAUUGAAAGUGUUUGUAUUCGUACAUUCUACUUUUAUGUAAGUUAUCGACAUCCAGGUGGGUGCUCUGAUUCCUUCGGGGGUUAGGGUACUAGACUGGUCAUUUACUGUGAGAAAAUUAGAGUGUUUAAAGCAGACUUUUAUUCAGUUUGAAUAGAUUAGCAUGGAAUAAUAAGAUUGGCUUUCAUAGUCGAUUUUUUGGUUUGUUUAUGAAAGCAAGAUUAAUAGGGACAGUUGGGGGUAUUCAUAUUCAAUAGCUAGAGGUGAAAUUCUAUGAUUUAUGGAAGAUGAACAAGUGCGAAAGCA
rnacentral:rRNA from 1 species